CUUUUUUUUUUUUUUUUUUUUGGAUUCUGACCGAGAGCAACAACAAGAACACAAUGGUCUGGACCUUUUUUUCCUUGUCCAAAAAUUUGGAAAUGUCUUCCAACAUUCAGCAUCCUGAUGAAAGUGAGAUUGUGUAAAUUUUUUUCCCCGGUGUAGAAGAAAUUAGAGUAUUACGGGUCUCCUCCGGCCUCAAGAGGGUUAAGAAAAUGGCAAACAAAAGCACGAGAACGGAAAGCCAGCGGUCUAAGCAUUUAAGAUUUUUUUUUUUAAAGAGAGGAUGCGAUGCUAUGAUUUCACUUUGAAAGUGUGAGAGCAUUAUAAUUCAUACCAUCAGUGGUGCAGAAGAAAUCAGAGUAUCAAGAGUCUCCUCCGGUCUCAAGAUCCUUAAGGUUUUGUCUGGCCAUGACAAGUUUCAUGAGAUCUAUGUUCUCGACAGAGAGGACCAACUAGUUAUUCAAUGUUGAAAGAUUGCAUAGGGUUCAUAUAGAGUGGUUAAUUUUUGAGGUUAUAAUGAUAGCUGGAGCAUCUAGAUAUCUCGAGCCUUUUCAAUUUCAACGUUUUAUUAAGGUGGAAGAAGAGGAUGCCUGCAGCAAGUGAUAAGUGAUUAUGAUAUAGGCUUUGAGAUUCGACUCUGAUAACACUUCAGUAUUUGUGUUCACUUGUAGCUUUUCUAAUAUUGUUUGAUUUUUAAUUGUAGUAAUACCCUUUCAUAUUACAGCAAUUAUUUGAAAAUUGUAGUUCAUGGCAUUUUGCAGUCUGAUUCAUGUCUCUCACAAGCUAGGACAUAUUUGUUAAAGGAC